rnacentral:misc_RNA from 1 species
UUUAGGGAGACCUGCCCACUCAGAUAUCGAAAGCAAUCAGUAAAUAGAUAUUGAGUUGGUCAUCCUAAGGUCGGUCGAGAUUGGUUUAAAUCUUUCAAAGUAUUAUUAAUUCGGUUUGUAAGCUAUCCUAAAUAUUGGGGAUAAAGCCAGCAAUUGACUAUGGCGUCAAACUGCUGGAAGACGACCAGCCAGAACCUUGAAAACUGCAUAGUGACGCGAAAGAAUAGCAGGCAGACACAGACGUAAUGAUUUUCAUGAAGUCAGUGGAUGCAUGGAGAAACACCAAAAUGUUUGAGU